AUUGAACGCUGGCGGCAGGCCUAACACAUGCAAGUCGAACGGUAACAGGAAGAAGCUUGCUUGUUUGAUGACGAGUGGCGGGCGGGUGAGUAAGGCCUGGGAAAGUGCCUGGUGGAGGGGGAUAAGUACUGGAAACGGUAGGUAAUAACGUAUAAUGUGGGAAGAGGAAGGGGGGGGAGCUUCGGGCCUCUCAGCCUCGGAUGGGGCGAGAUCGGAUUAGGUAGUUGGAGGGGUAAAGGCAGACCUAGGCGACGAUCGGUAGCUGGUCUGAGAGGAUGAACAGCCACACUGGAACUGAGACACGGUCCAGACUCCUACGGGAGGCAGCAGUGGGGAAUAUUGGACAAUGGGCGAAAGCCUGAUCCAGCCAUGCCGCGUGUAUGAAGAAGGCCUUCGGGUUGUAAAGUACUUUCAGUGGGGAGGAAGGGAGUUAAGUUAAUACCUUGCUUCAUUGACGUUACCCACAGAAUAAGCACCGGCUAACUCCGUG
rnacentral:rRNA from 1 species